UACGUAGGGUGCGAGCGUUAAUCGGAAUUACUGGGCGUAAAGCGUGCGCAGGCGGCGCGUUAAGACAGGUGUGAAAGCCCCGAGCUUAACUUGGGAAUUGCGCUUGUGACUGGCGUGCUGGAGUGUGGCAGAGGGAGGUGGAAUUCCACGUGUAGCAGUGAAAUGCGUAGAGAUGUGGAGGAACACCGAUGGCGAAGGCAGCCUCCUGGGCCAGCACUGACGCUCAUGCACGAAAGCGUGGGGAGCAAACAGGAUUAGA
rnacentral:rRNA from 1 species